ACUACAGAAAAUGACUGAGCGGCGAACGGGUGAGUAACGCGUGAGCAACCUACCUUAGUUACUGGGAUAGCCCGAGGAAACUCGGAUUAAUACCGGAUAUUCUUAUUUAAUCACAUGAUUUUUUAAGGAAAGGUCAGCCGAACUAAGAUGGGCUCGCGUUCUAUCAGCUAGUUGGUAGGGUAAUGGCCUACCAAGGCUACGACGGAUAGCUGGUCUGAGAGGACGAUCAGCCACACUGGGACUGAGACACGGCCCAGACUCCUACGGGAGGCUGCAGCAGGGAAUAUUGCGCAAUGAGCGAAAGCUUGACGCAGCGACACCGCGUGUGGGAUGACGGAUCUAGGUUUGUAAACCACUUUCAGGAGGGAAGAAAAUGACGGUACCUCCACAA
rnacentral:rRNA from 1 species